rnacentral:lncRNA from 1 species
CCGCUAACUACAUCAUUUCCGGUAUCUCACUCUUCCGGUUUCAUUCCCUCAUCUCACAACAAAACUCAAUAUUUUAAAGUUACAUUUUUAAUAUUAAAAGUGUUGGCAGUGCGCCCGGCAAUCACAUUUUCACAAUGGACCAAAUAGAAGAACGUUUGGCAGAAGAACUAAGGAAAUAUGAGCACUUCUACAACUCGUUGUUGAAGGAAUACAAAGAUUCCCGCCAACUGACGGAGAACUUCGAAAAGUUCACGGCUGCGUCGAAGCAACUGCGUGCACAAUACAGUGUCGCCGCGAGGUGAGGCACCUAGGGUACGUGGCUACGCUGUACUUGCGGCGUAGAUUCUACGCAGAAGCAUAAAUCGGUGGACUCCGCCAUUUUCGAAUUGAGUUGAAGAAAUAUGGACCUAAUGGAGCAGAGAUUAGCGGAGGAAAUCCGUAAGCAUGCACAUGUUUACGAUUCGUCUUCGCCACAUUACAAAGACUCACAGAUGAUCGCAAAUUCUUGGGAAGAAAUUUCCACAACCAUCGGUUUGGACGUCAUCGAAUGUACAAAGAGAUGGAGGACCAUGAGGGACAAGUACGUUCGACUCCGAAAAAGACUCUCAACGCAGAGCGGGGACCCAUUGGGGCAUAAAGUGCCUUCGUUUUAUGUGCGUCUGUCCUGGUUGGCACCGCAUGUAAAGCACCGGGAAAGAGGGUCAACAAAUUACGGCACCAACUCCCCCCAGCCAUCUCCUCGAUCCCCCUGCCAAAAGAUGAGACCGAAGAGGAAUAGGAAAGAACAGGAUGACUGUCUUCAGAAGCAGGUUGCCCAGUUGAAGGAACGCAGGGUGGAACUGCAACAGAGAGAGGACAGCGGUUGCAGCGAUGAGCUCCAGCCAUCUCCUUUAUCCCCCUGCCAAAAGAUGAGCCCGAAGAGGAAAGAACAGGAUGACUGUCUUCAGAAGCAGGUUGCCCAGUUGAAGGAAUGCAGGGUGGAACUGCAACUACAGAGACUGGACAGCGGAUGGAGCGAUGAGCUCCAGUCAUCUCCUUUAUCCCCCUGCCAAAAGAUGACACCGAAGAUGAAGAGGAAAGAACAGGAUGACUGUCUUCAGAAGCAGGUUGCCAAGUUGGAGGAACGCAGGGUGGAACUUCAACAACAGAGACAGGACAGCGGUUGCAGCGAUGAGCUCUCCAGGUUUGGGCAAACUGUUACAGACAUGCUGCGGAGGCUGCCGGAAGAGCACAGGCCACAGGCUAUGUUUGACGUCUACAAACUACUGUUCGAGAGGCAGCAGCAGAACAAAUAA